AAUACAUUGGUUUAUACUCGAUAAUUGUGACGAGGUGCGACCUUAUAUGGAUGAACAUUUGAAUGAGCUGAAAGCGGAAUCAAAUGACAACUUGCCACAGAGGCAUCGAAAACUAUUUCCUGAAUGGUUUCGAAAGCGGAUUGGAAAAUUGCACUAUGAAAAGUUUCCUG